UUUUCUUUUACAGAAAAUGGGUGCACAGAUAAAUUUUUGAUAAAUUUAUCGAAGGUUGUGUUGAUUUUCAUGGCGGAACCAAUAACAUCACAAAACGUGUGCUCUGAUCAGACCAGGCAGAAGCCACGUUUUCAAGCCUCUCCCUUGUUUUGUACACACGCGUCAAAAUUACUUGGUUGCAUGGAUCGAAAAAACCUUCAUCUUUUUCCCUCUAAGCUCCGGAUCACCGUCGUCAAGUUCAUUAUUCAUUAGCUGCAAAUUUGAAAGGAUGGACAGGCUUAGUAGAGGAUCUGCUAUUCUAAUUCUGUGCUUCUUUUCCAUCGUUGUUUCCUCUGUGGGAGAUGGACAUAAGGAUCAAGAAAAGAGACCGGCUCUUUCAUUUCCAGAGACGUUAGCUAGAACCUAUUGGGACUGGGCUAAGACCAUCGUCCAUCGAGCUCAGGCCUACUUCUUUCCUCCAAAUAUAGAGUACAUAUAAGUUCUUUGAUAUUUAUAUGAAUUACCCAUUUCUAACUUUUAGCAUCUGAUUAGAACAAAAUAUAUAUAUAUAUAGUUUCAGAGGCAGUAAUGAGGCUGGAGAGCAGACAGACAUGGGGGCUGGAGAGAAAGUGAAAGAAGCAGUUGCAGAGAGUUUGGGUAAGACCAGAGCAACAGUGGAGGACUCUGCCAAAUCUGCAGCCAAAGUUGCAAGUGAAACAGUGCACAAGACAAAGGAGAAGGUGAAACGAAGCCUAUCUGAUCAGGGACGACAAGAAACUGAUCAUAGUGAGCUUUGAUUACUGUCAAUGACGAGCAACCGAGGUUGCUUAGUCAUAUAGAUAUAUGUAAGGUUCAUGAUAUUGUCAAGGAAAACUAGAAGAAGACAAUCAACCCCAAUGAAUAUUACAAUUUUGGUUAAAAGAUGCUUUGGUUAUGCGCAAAUCAAUGAAUGUUUUUU
rnacentral:misc_RNA from 1 species